rnacentral:tmRNA from 1 species
GGCCUUUUAUUUAGGCCCCGAAAGACCUAUAUAUGGGUCUGUCGGGCAACCGACUAUGGCGAUAAACGUCUUUCGUAAUAAGCGAAGCGGACCCGGGGGCAGUACCCGGCGCCUCCACCACCAUUUCUCUGCUUUGGGGGCGAACCAGGAUCGACGCGCGUGUAAAGGUUUGACUUUUGCCCGGUAUGGUACCGCCGUUAUCGGACCAAAACUAUAGGUGCCAACGAUAAUGUUGAGCCCAUCGCUGUAGCCGCCUAAACAGCGGAGACAAGCGCGGUUCGGGGGGCACCGGGCAACAGAAGCCCCCCACU